rnacentral:tRNA from 1 species
CGUUAGGAAGCUAACCAGGGCCUAGCGUCAGCCUUUUAAGCUGAACUCCGGUGACUCCCGACCACCCCUAACGG